rnacentral:rRNA from 1 species
GUGAGGAAUAUUGGUCAAUGGGCGAGAGCCUGAACCAGCCAAGUCGCGUGAGGGAAGAAUGGUCUAUGGCCUGUAAACCUCUUUUGUCAGGGAAGAAUAAGGAUGACGAGUCAUUCGAUGCCAGUACUUGACGAAUAAGCAUCGGCUAACUCCGUGCCAGCAGCCGCGGUAAUACGGGGGAUGCGAGCGUUAUCCGGAUUUAUUGGGUUUAAAGGGCGCGUAGGCGGGACGUCAAGUCAGCGGUAAAAGACUGCAGCUAAACUGUAGCACGCCGUUGAAACUGGCGCCCUGGAGACGAGACGAGGGAGGCGGAACAAGUGAAGUAGCGGUGAAAUGCAUAGAUAUCACUUGGAACCCCGAUAGCGAAGGCAGCUUCCCAGGCUCGUUCUGACGCUGAUGCGCGAGAGCGUGGGUAGCGAACAGGAUUAGAAACCCGUGUAGUCC